rnacentral:tRNA from 1 species
AAGUUUAGGUUGACACUUUAAACCAAGAGCCUUCAAAGCCCUAACUUCUG